rnacentral:lncRNA from 1 species
UAUUGACUUCGCAGCACCAGCAGGUCGUAACUCAGCUCAAUCUCUUUCUCAUUCUCUCAAAUUUCCAAAUCUCAAACCCUCAUCGCCUCCCUCGACUCCCAUCUCAUCGGCUCAUCGCCUCCCUUCGACGGUUCGACCGACGGCAGUCACAGCAUCGCCUCCCUCGACAGUCGCCCCUCAUCGCCUUCGGUGGUAAAUGUCUAGCAAAUGUACUACAAAUCCUCUACAAAUGCUCAAACCCUCAUCGCCUGAUGCAUGUCUGUGAGUAAUAGGAGUGCUCUUUCUUGUUCAAGCACAUACAUUUCACCAUUAAAGACCCUUCUCAGCCUAUCAGGCUCUCAGCUCUUAUAAAUCCCCAUUAGCAACAAACAAAUUUCGGAUUCUUUUGUUUCUGCAUCAAGUCUCUCUCUCUUUACUUCUCUUCUCAGGUAAAAUAAUUACUAAGAUCUACUGAUUUUUUCAAUUCCAUGUUUUAGUUAUGUUCUGUUUGACUAUUUUGACCAUUUUCCUGAUAUUCAAUUUCCAGAUUUCAAGGUUUUUUUUAUUAUUCUUGAUUUUGUUGUUUUCGCAAAUUUAGAAUACUCACAUUAUAGAUCAAAUUGAAUUGUUGCAUACGAAUGAUAGUUUAACUUUCAAUGAAAUUCUGGGUUCUUAUAGAUCAGAUUGAAAUGUUGCAUAAGAAUGAUAAUUUGACUUUCAAUUUGUUUCAUGUAGUAUAUUUUGCCAAAUGCCAAUCUGUGCAAUAGCAGUCAGUCCAUUGUAAUUUAUGGUUUCUUUGAAGUUGACUGGAAUGCUUUCUUUCAUUUAUAUUUGUCAACAGGAACUGUGCAAUAGGCCAAUAGCAACAAAUGGUAUCAAGCAAAUGGUAUCAGUCAUUAUAAGAACUGUGCAAUAGCAGUCAUUGUGCAAUAACAGUCAGCAGCACCUUCAGCCUUUAAGCAUUUUGGCCAGCAGCAGUAGCCAGCUUCAAGCUCUCAAUUCUCAUAGUCUCAUAUGUCCAUGAACUGUUAAUGGUGUUAAUUUAUAUCUCAUUAGCAGCUUCAGCCUUCAAGCAUAAGCUUCAGCAUUAUGUUUAUGGUGUUAAUUUAUGUUUAUGAACUGUGUUGUUGUUGUUUAUGGAUUAUGUUAAUGGAUUGUAGCUUUGUAAGAACUGUUUAUGGAUUGUGUUUAUGGAGUGCAGGGACUGAACUGUUUAUGGACCAUGUUUAAAUUCGGUUAUUAACCGAAUAAUCGAAUAAUUCGGUUAGUGCACAUUUCGGUUAUCUGUUCGGAUAGUUAAAACAGGAUACUUUCGGGUAUCGGUUAUAACCGAAUUUCUUGUUCGGUUCGGUUAAUAACCGAAUGCUCACCCCUAUUCACAAGAGCUG